CCUACGGGAGGCAGCAGUGAGGAAUAUUGGUCAAUGGCCGUAAGGCUGAACCAGCCAAGUCGCGUGAAGGACGAAGGAUCUAUGGUUUGUAAACUUCUUUUAUAGGGGAGUACAGGUAUCCACGUGUGGAUAUUUGCAUGUACCCUAUGAAUAAGCAUCGGCUAACUCCGUGCCAGCCGCCGCGGUAAUACGGAGGAUGCGAGCGUUAUCCGGAUUUAUUGGGGUUAAAGGGUGAGUAGGUUGUUUUUUAAGUCAGCGGUGAAAGUUUGUGGCUCAAACCUAAAAUUGCCGUUGAAACUGGAAAACUUGAGUGUGUGUGAGGUAGGCGGAAUGCGAGGUGUAGCGGUGAAAUGCAUAGAUAUCACGCAGAACUCCGAUUGCGAAGGCAGCUUACUAGGCCAUAACUGACACUGAAGGACGAAAGCGUGGGGAUCAAACAGGAUUAGAUACCCUAGUAGUC
rnacentral:rRNA from 1 species